AUUGAACGCUGGCGGAAUGCCUUACACAUGCAAGUCGAACGGCAGCACGGGAGCAAUCCUGGUGGCGAGUGGCGAACGGGUGAGUAAUACAUCGGAACGUGCCCAAUCGUGGGGGAUAACGUAGCGAAAGCUACGCUAAUACCGCAUACGAUCUACGGAUGAAAGCGGGGGAUCGCAAGACCUCGCGCGAAUGGAGCGGCCGAUGGCAGAUUAGGUAGUUGGNGGGGUAAAGGCUCACCAAGCCUGCGAUCUGUAGCUGGUCUGAGAGGACGACCAGCCACACUGGGAC
rnacentral:rRNA from 1 species